rnacentral:rRNA from 1 species
UUGAAAUCCUCAGGAUG